UCGUCUCCUCAAGACCACCAAAUCCAGGUGCAACUUCUAGACCCAACCAGACAACAAACUCCUUAUGAAAGGUCAGCUUCAGAGAACUUGAAACACAUGAAAAGCAACAUGCAUUUUCUUUUCUUUCUAACUUUAGU